CCUUCACUUUGUUCUUAUUAUUAUUUUUUUUGUCUUACCACCCACCACUUAUUUAAAUCACUAAUCUCUCUCCAAUUUCAAGUUCAGGAUUUUCUUUUAGCCAAAUAAAGAGAUCAAAAGAAAAAGAUGAUUGGACUGAUCCAAUCAAAUCGAGGUGAUCAAAUUUGAUGGUAGCGAUUGUGCCGUGGCUCAGUGAUAUCGAUUAGAUAUGAUCAAGACCGUAUGGACGAGCGACUAAAACCUACAAGACGGGUUCGAGGCACUAGAAGCAGAAUUGGGAAGAUGGAGAUUAAGGAGCUAAAGGGAGAGAGGAUUAGGUGUUGUCUGGUGUAUACAUGAAAGGGGUGUUUCAGGGCUGGAGUAAAACUGUAGCAGGC